rnacentral:rRNA from 1 species
UACGUAGGGUGCAAGCGUUGUCCGGAAUUAUUGGGCGUAAAGAGCUCGUAGGCGGUUUGUCGCGUCGGCUGUGAAAACUCGGGGCUCAACCCCGAGCCUGCAGUCGAUACGGGCAGACUAGAGUGCUGUAGGGGAGACUGGAAUUCCUGGUGUAGCGGUGAAAUGCGCAGAUAUCAGGAGGAACACCGAUGGCGAAGGCAGGUCUCUGGGCCAUAACUGACGCUGAGAAGCGAAAGCAUGGGGAGCGAACAGG